rnacentral:rRNA from 1 species
UAGGGAAUAUUGGACAAUGGGGGCAACCCUGAUCCAGCCAUGCCGCGUGAGUGAAGAAGGCCCUCGGGUUGUAAAGCUCUUUUGUCCGGAAAGAAAAGCAUUCGGUGAAUACCCGGAUGUUCUGACGGUACCGGAAGAAUAAGCACCGGCUAACUUCGUGCCAGCAGCCGCGGUAAUACGAAGGGUGCAAGCGUUACUCGGAAUUACUGGGCGUAAAGCGUGCGUAGGUGGUUGUUUAAGUCUUAUGUGAAAGCCCUGGGCUCAACCUGGGAAUGGCAUUGGAAACUGGGCAGCUAGAGUGCGGUAGAGGGUAGUGGAAUUCCCGGUGUAGCAGUGAAAUGCGUAGAGAUCGGGAGGAACAUCUGUGGCGAAGGCGACUGCCUGGACCAGCACUGACACUGAGGCACGAAAGCGUGGGGAGCAAAC